rnacentral:rRNA from 1 species
CCUACGGGAGGCAGCAGUGAGGAAUAUUGGUCAAUGGGCGCGAGCCUGAACCAGCCAAGUCGCGUGAGGGAAGACGGUCCUAUGGAUUGUAAACCUCUUUUGUCGGGGAGCAAAAGACGGCACGUGUGGCGUUCCGAGAGUACCCGAAGAAAAAGCAUCGGCUAACGCCGUGCCAGCAGCCGCGGUAAUACGGAGGAUGCGAGCGUUAUCCGGAUUUAUUGGGUUUAAAGGGUGCGCAGGCGGAAGAUCAAGUCAGCGGGAAAAUUGAGAGGCUCAACCUCGUCGAGCCGUUGAAACUGGUUUUCUUGAGUGCGCGAGAAGUAUGCGGACUGCGUGGUGUAGCGGUGAAAUGCAUAGAUCUCACGCAGAACUCCGAUUGCGAAGGCAGCAUACCGGCGCUCAACUGACGCUCAUGCACGAACGUGUGGGUAUCGAACAGGAUUCGAUCCCCGGGUAGUC